GUAGGGGGCGAGCGUUAUCCGGAAUUAUUGGGUUUAAAGGGUUCGUAGGCGGUUUAGUAAGUCAGUGGUGAAAUCUUAUAGCUUAACUAUAAGAUUGCCGUUGAUACUGUCGCGCUGGAGUGCGGAUGCCGCCGGAGGAAUGAGUGGUGUAGCGGUGAAAUGCUUAGAUAUCACUCAGAACACCGAUUGCGAAGGCAUCUGGCGAAUCCGUAACUGACGCUGAGGCACGAAAGCGUGGGGAUAGAACAGGAUUAGAUACCCUGGUAUUCCACGCCGUAAACGAUGAUGGCUAACCGCCGGCGACACACUGUCGGUGGCCAAGCGAAAGCGAUAAGCCAUCCACCUGGGGAGU
rnacentral:rRNA from 1 species